rnacentral:lncRNA from 1 species
GAGCAGAGUCCUUAUAGAGCAGAGUCCUUAUAGAACUGCUGCAGGAGUUUGUAUUUUACAAAUUAAUAAAGUACAAUAUGUAUAAUUUCAUUUUAUGUUCAUUUCAGGAAUCAUCAAUAACCAAUCAACUUUAUAUAUUAAUAUAUUUAUGUGUUUAUGUAUUUAUGUGAUAAAAUUACAUGGAAAAUUUACAUGUAAUUAAAUUACAUAAAGUUCAUGUUUUAGGCCUGAUUAUUGUGAUGGGUGUGGUAAGAAUGUUGCUACAUGUACUGUAUAUAUAACAGUAAGACAUGUGGCUGACAAUAGAGCAGAUCAGAGCUGACCUCAGUAAGGACGCUGCUGUCUCAGUUUUGUGUUUGAUCUUCCUCCAGAGGCAGAAAUCGGACAAUGAACUUGUACAGAAGUCAAGAAAUGCUCAUCACCUAUGUUUUAAAAAUGGAGAGAGAUAGGUGAAUUUGGUAUUUUCUGUAUAGUAUGCAGAAAAUACCAAUAAUAAUAUAUAAUAUAUAUUAUAUAUAAUAAUAUGCACUGGUCAAAAAACAGCAUCACAUCAGUUCUUUACUUAGUAGCUAAAAACAUUAAGCACAUGGUGUAUAAAAUGUUUUGAGCUUGUGGUUCUUUUAUAAGAGCGUAAGAAAAUAGGUAACAGAAAGAAUCCUGUGAUUUCCUGUAGAGCCCCACAGUGACGUCAUAUUCUCCCCUCCUCACCAGAAGUGACUGUUUUAAGUCUGACAACGUAAUCAGAGAACCAGUCGGCAUCAGACAGGAGGGGCAGCAACAAUAGGUUGGUCAUGAAGGCGUUCCAUCCGGUGCUUUGGUCCAGUUUCCUGUUUGUGUGCAUGUCAAAAUGGGAGUCGGAGGCCAACCAUUCAGAUUUGUGCGAGGAGGGGCCUGAACAUGAGCUCAUUGUGUCGGGAUCCUCAUUCCAAACGUAUCAUGUUCACAAACAUGAGGUGCCCGAACAUUUUUCCUGCCAUACUUACCCAACAAACAAGCUCAACUGCUCCUGGAGGUUCCACACUUUGGCAGAGGGUGCAAAUCUUUCUGUGUCCAUCAGUAUAUGUAAAGAUGUCUCUUGGGGCAAAAUAUUCCAAGAAAAAGAAGGAGCAUGGUCGCACUCUUUUGCUCAAUUUAAACCUGAAGAUGUAGUUGUCGAGUUUAACAUGUCUCUGGCUGACAACUGGACAGCCUACACCUACAUGUUCAACGAGGAAGGGAUGGAGGUGCUGUCCCCACCAUCAAACAUCUCUAUAUCAGUGAAGGAUGGAAAUCUACUGGUGAUGUGGAAUCAGCCAUUCAGUCAUACCACUAAGAAUUCAAAUUGCUUUGACUACGAGCUUGAUCUGGGCGACAAGGAAAACAUCAUAAGCCUGACAAGACCUGACAAGCUGGCCUACACAGAGCUAAAUAAACCCACUCACACCUACAAGGUGAGGAUAAGGGCGAAGAAAUCAGAAAGCUGCUUUGAGGGUCCUGAGUGGAGCGAGUGGAGUGACACCAUCAUGUUGGAACCGACGGCUUACAAACUCAACAUGUUGGUUAUCAUCUCGAUCUCCCUUGGAAUACCCAUGAUCCUCCUGGCCGUGCUGCUCGUGGUUCGCCAUCAGAGGGUGUCCCAACUUUUGUUUCCGCCAAUCCCUCGUCCACCUCCUAAGUACAUCCACUUCCUGGAAAAAGGCCACUUACCAAACUUAUUCUAUCCUGCCCCGAGUUCAAUGACUGAGGAGGAGAUCACAGAAGUGGAGGACACGAAAGAAACUUAG